GGUCCUCUGCCGCGUGUUUGGAAGUUAUGGCCGCGCGGGUCUGUGGUGUUCUCCCUGAAAGGCCUAAGCUUUGGGUGAUGGCAUUGCCUUUUGGCACUCGGGAGACAAGAUGCAGGUUCCGUCUCAGAAGUAAUGGCUGGAUCCCUGAAAGCCAACGGGCUCGGUGUGGUCCACCCGUCAGAAGGCAUAGGUAGAUGGUGGGCAUCUGCCUCAGACAUAGUUCUCAAGUUCAGCCAGAAGAAUGCGCGUUGAGCCCUCUGCAGCCCGUGUCGGUAAGGGUUCCAAACAAGUCCAGAAGAGGGUCUGUGCCGGUGUAAUUUGGGGCUAUAGAGUGUCGUUCUGCAACUCAACGUGGUUGCCAGAACCGGAUUUCCAAAAAUGAGUUGGGUUGGCACUGGGGGGUUUGGGGGGCCUCUUGCUGGUUGAGCUGAGGAUGAUUUAAGUUAUCCCUGUCUGAAAUGACACUUUUGUGAAGAGUCAUGGUUUACUGAGGCUCGACGUUUUGAGGUCUGUUUUGAGAAUGACCACAGUAAGGUUGCUUCUGUUAGAAUGAAGUGGGAUCUCUUUAUUACUCCUUCAGACGGAGGUGUUGUCUCCAGGAAGCAUCAUGGAAAGGCGUGGUGGUGCACAAGGGCCUUCAGGAUGCCUGCGCCUGGUGACGGCUGCGCCUCAGGUUCUGGGCCUGACUCGGAAGGGUGCCUGUGAGCAGAAGAGCUGGCACGCGCAGCUCAGUGGACCAUCAGUGCCAACCCGUCCUGUACCCUGGCUGAGGGGUGUGCUAAGUGGCAGAUUCCCGGUUGGCUCAUCGUAAGGCGUGGCACAAAAUCACCAUCGAAAGAAAGGGCCUUCGGGAUGCCUCUAUCUGGUUAUUGCCCUGUAGUGCCAGAGAGAACCACAUAGCCUGCUGCUGCUCCUGCCUUUAAUUUCCCAAAGAGUCAUCAGACGACCUUGGAGUUUGUUCUGCAAGAGGAGCCAGUAAGGCCUCGUGACUGUGGUCACCCUCGGAAGCCUUUGACAGCUAGCUGGUGAGGGCGCUCAGUCGGAGGCCCUGGGGAGGCCCCUGCUAAGCCGAGAAAAGCAUUUCUCACAGUGGAUUUCCUGGAAGUCAGGGUUGGCCUUUGUAUUUUGAAGCACAAAUAAACUUUAUAAAA
rnacentral:lncRNA from 7 species